AGUCAUACGCUCGUCUCAAAGAUUAAGCCAUGCAUGUGUAAGUAUAAACAAAUUUCUACUGUGAAACUGCGAACGGCUCAUUAUAUCAGUUAUAGUUUAUUUGAUAAUAUUUGACUAUUGGAUAACCGUAGUAAUUCUAGAGCUAAUACAUGCGCAAAGUCCCGACUGUUUGGGAGGGAUGUAUUUAUUAGAUAACAACCAACAAUUUGUGUUGAGUCAUGAUAACUUAGCGGAUCGCAUUUGGCGACAAAUCAUUCAAGUUUCUGCCCUAUCAGCUUUCGAUGGUAGUGUAUUGGACUACCAUGGCAUUCACGGGUAACGGAGGAUUAGGGUUCGAUUCCGGAGAGGGAGCCUGAGAGAUGGCUACCACAUCCAAGGAAGGCAGCAGGCGCGUAAAUUACCCAAUCCUGACUCAGGGAGGUAGUGACAAGAAAUAUCAAUAUAAGACUUUUAUGUCUUGUAAUUGGGAUGAGCGAAACAUAAACCGCUUCUCGAGUAUCAAU
rnacentral:rRNA from 1 species